GACGAACGCUGGCGGCGUGCCUAAUACAUGCAAGUCGAGCGAAGUGGGGACGGGUGAGUAACACGUGGGUAACCUCCUCUAAGACUGGGAUAACUUUUGGAAACGGGGGCUAAACCGGAUACGUAUGGUUGGCACCGCGCUGCAUUUGUUAGUUGGUUAGGUAACGGCGUACCAGGGCAACGAUGCAUAGCCUACCUGGGCGGGUGAUCGGCCACACUGGACAGAGUACACGGUCCAGACUCCUCCGGGACGCAGCAGAAGGGGAUUUUCCGCAAUGGGCGAAAGCCUGGAGGAGCGAAGCCGCGUGAGUGAUGAGGGUCUUGGGAUCGUAAGCCUCGUUUAUUAGGGAAGCGGUACCUAAUCAGAAAGCGACGGCUAACUACGUGCCAGCAGCCGCGGUAAUUC
rnacentral:rRNA from 1 species